rnacentral:rRNA from 1 species
GAUGAACGCUAGCGGCAGGCUUAACACAUGCAAGUCGAGGGGUAACAGGGAUAGCUUGCUAUUUGCUGACGACCGGCGCACGGGUGCGUAACGCGUAUAGAAUCUACCUUUUACUGGGGGAUAGCCUUUGGAAACGAAGAUUAAUACCCCAUAGUAUUAUAUUUUGGCAUCAUUAUAUAAUUAAAGUUUCGGCGGUAAAAGAUGACUAUGCGUUCUAUUAGUUUGUUGGUAAGGUAACGGCUUACCAAGACUACGAUAGAUAGGGGUCCUGAGAGGGAGAUCCCCCACACUGGUACUGAGACACGGACCAG